GAACGCGGUUAUCUCCGCAAGGGGAUAACUGAGUGGCAAACGGGUGAGUAACGCGUGGGUGACCUGCCUUCGAGUGGGGGAUAACGUUUCGAAAGGAACGCUAAUACCGCAUGACAUCCUGUUUUUGAACAGGCGGAGAUCAAAGCCGGGGACCGCAAGGCCUGGCGCUCGAAGAGGGGCCCGCGUCUGAUUAGCUAGUUGGUGAGGUAAUGGCUCACCAAGGCAACGAUCAGUAUCCGGCCUGAGAGGGCGGACGGACACACUGGGACUGAGACACGGCCCAGACUCCUACGGGAGGCAGCAGUGGGGAAUUGUUCGCAAUGGGCGCAAGCCUGACGACGCAACGCCGCGUGGAGGAUGAAGAUCUUCGGGUCGUAAACUCCUUUCGAUCGAGACGAAUGGUUUCCGGGUAAAUACCCCNGGAGAAUUGACGGUACCGAGAGAAGAAGCCCCGGCUAACUCCGUG
rnacentral:rRNA from 1 species